rnacentral:rRNA from 1 species
GAUGAACGCUGGCGGCGUGCCUAAUACAUGCAAGUCGAGCGAACGGACGAGAAUCUUGCUUCUCUGAUGUUAGCGGCGGACGGGUGAGUAACACGUGGAUAACCUACCUAUAAGACUGGGAUAACUUCGGGAAACCGGAGCUAAUACCGGAUACUCUUUUGAACCGCAUGGUUCAACAGUGAAAGACGGUCUUGCUGUCACUUAUAGAUGGAUCCGCGCUGCAUUAGCUAGUUGGUAAGGGAACGGCUUACCAAGGCAACGAUGCCUAGCCGACCUGAGAGAGUGAUAGUCGACGGUGGAACUGAGACAGGGUCCAGACUCCUACGGGAGGCAGCAGUAGGGAAGCGUACGCAAUGGGCGAAAGCCUGACGGAGCAACGCCGAGUGAGUGAUGAAGGUGUUCGGAUCGGAAAACUCUGUUAUUAGGGAAGAACAUAUGUGUAAGUAACUGUGCACAUCGUGACGGUACCUAAUCAGAAAGCCACGGCUAACUACGUG